CAAGUACUCCCUCCGUCCCAAAUUACUUGUCGCAGAAAUGGAUGUAUCUAGAACUAAAAUACAUCUAGAUACAUCCAUACUUGCGACAAGUAAUUUGGGACGGAGGGAGUAUGAU
rnacentral:pre_miRNA from 1 species